GUGAAUCAUCAAAUUUUUGAACGCAAAUUGCACUCUCUUCGGAGAGUAUGCCUGUUUGAGGGUCAGCCUAAAAAAAAUCGACAUAGUUGCCGUUUCGCGGUGGCGUUCGUCGGAAAUUGGGUUAUCUUAAAUCUUUGGGUUAAGCGGCUUAAAAUUUUCUUUACGAAUUCAUGAACGGUUCCAAGAUUUAUUUCUUUUCACGUUUAUAGGAUCUAUUUUAUUAGGCGUGGUCGUCAUAUCGGAGCAUGUCCAUAAUUUUUCGUUCACUGACUUACGUCAGGCAA
rnacentral:misc_RNA from 1 species